rnacentral:rRNA from 1 species
UGAGUAACGCGUAACUGACCUACCUCCAAGUUCAGCAUAACGUCUCGAAAGAGACGCUAAUUCUGGAUGUGAUGUCAGAUCUUGUUCUGCCAUUAAAGAAUUUCGCUUGGAGAUGGGGUUGCGUUCCAUCAGCUGGUUGGUGGGGUAAAGGCCUACCAAGGCGACGACGGAUCACCGGCCUGAGAGGGUGGCCGGUCACAGGGGCACUGAGACACGGGUCCC